rnacentral:rRNA from 1 species
UACGUAGGGAGCAAGCGUUGUCCGGAAUCAUUGGGCGUAAAGCGCGCGUAGGUGGCCUCGUAAGUCCGCUGUGAAAGUCAAAGGCUCAACCUUUGAAAGCCGGUGGAUACUGCGAGGGCUAGAGUACGGAAGAGGCGAGUGGAAUUCCUGGUGUAGCGGUGGAAUGCGCAGAUAUCAGGAAGAACACCCGUGGCGAAGGCGGCUCUCUGGGACGGUACUGACGCUGAGACGCGAAAGCGUGGGGAGCGAACAGG